CUGAAAAGACUUCCGGAUCGGCAAAGUCGUCAGAUCCCGUCGUUCAGCUUUUCGCGGAUUGCAUUGAUCGUAGGGACCAUUCCGUUGCGCGGUGGGUGAGAUCGAUCAAACAGGAAAUCCGGGGUUAUCCCGGUAUGGGGAUGGCUCCGAAUAUCUCAUUGACCCAUUUUCUCGGUGUUUGUUCAGGGAAUGGAUUCCCA
rnacentral:misc_RNA from 1 species